rnacentral:rRNA from 1 species
UACGUAGGGGGCUAGCGUUGUCCGAAAUCAUUGGGCGUAAAGCGCGUGUAGGCGGUCCGGUAAGUCCGCUGUGAAAGUCGGGGGCUCAACCCUCGAAUGCCGGUGGAUACUGUCGGGCUAGAGUGCGGAAGAGGCGAGUGGAAUUCCUGGUGUAGCGGUGAAAUGCGCAGAUAUCAGGAGGAACACCGGUGGCGAAGGCGGGUCUCUGGGCCGUAACUGACGCUGAGGAGCGAAAGCAUGGGGAGCAAACAGG